UACGCCGUGAAUGCUCGACA
rnacentral:misc_RNA from 1 species